AACGAACGCUGGCGGCAUGCCUAACACAUGCAAGUCGAACGAGACCUUCGGGUCUAGUGGCGCACGGGUGCGUAACGCGUGGGAACCUGCCCUUAGGUUCGGAAUAACUCCCCGAAAGGGGUGCUAAUACCGGAUAAUGUCUUCGGACCAAAGAUUUAUCGCCUUUGGAUGGGCCCGCGUUGGAUUAGCUAGUUGGUAGGGUAAAAGCCUACCAAGGCGACGAUCCAUAGCUGGUCUGAGAGGAUGAUCAGCCACACUGGGACUGAGACACGGCCCAGACUCUUAGGGGAGGAGGAGGGGGGGAUAAUUGAAAAGGGGAGGAAGCCUGGAACGUGCAUGCCCGGGGGAGAGAUGAGGGCAUUGGGGUUGAAAUGCUUUUUUACCCGGGAAGAUAAGGACGGGCCGGGGAAAAAAAGCCCCGCCUACCUCCGUG
rnacentral:rRNA from 1 species